rnacentral:rRNA from 1 species
AUUGAACGCUGGCGGCAGGCCUAACACAUGCAAGUCGAACGAGUGGCGGACGGGUGAGUAAUGUCUGGUCCACUUCCCGAUGGAGGGGGAUAACUACUGGAAACAGUAGCUAAUACCGCAUACCAUCGGAUCUGCCCAGAUGGGAUUAGCUAGUAGGUGGGGUAACGGCUCCCCUAGGCGCAGAUCCCUAGCUGGUCUGAGAGGAUGACAAGCCAAACUGGAACUGGGACACGGUCCAGACUCCUACGGGAGGCAGCAGUGGGGAAUAUUGGACAAUGGGCGCAAGCCUGAUGCAGCCAUGCCGCGUGUAUGAAGAAGGCCUUCGGGUUGUAAAGUACUUUCAGCGAGGAGGCGUUACUCGCAGAAGAAGCACCGGAUAAAAAAGUGCCAGCAGCCGCGGUAAUAC